rnacentral:lncRNA from 1 species
AGCUGCAUCUUUACCAGUGUCAACUAGCCUUUCAUUGAGUUUUCAUCUCUAGGUACAAAGAAUAGCAUACUGCAAAAAGAAGAUUCAUGUUGUAUCAACUGUAAUCUCCAACGUGAGAGCUCACAGUUCUAGUGCCAAAGCACUUACCUGGACAGCCGCGACAACUUUUCCAAUUCUUGUACUCCCCCCCUUCUUCAGGUUUUCUUAGGCCUAUUUGAAAACCAGAAACUUGUAAUCUCUGUCAUUCUUUUAAAUGAUAUAGACUUUGAAUUGUUGUAGCUCUCAUUCAUUAAUCGGUUUCUUCGCAUUUCCCUAAGAUGCUGUGGAAGUGGAAGUGUGAAGCGUAAAAACCGAUUUUAUCUUCAUGCAUUCUACCUA